GCUGGGCGUUGCGGCGGGCGCCUGUGGUCCCAGCUACUUGGGAGGCGGAGGCAGGAGACUCGCUUGAGCCCAGGAGUUGGAGGUUGCUGUGAGCUGUAAUGCCACGGCACUCUACCCAAGGGGGACAGCUUGAGGCUCUGUCUCAAAAAAAAAAAAAUGCUGUGGCAUCACAGCUCACAGCAACCUCCAACUCCUGGGCUCAAGUGAGUCUCCUGCCUCCA
rnacentral:SRP_RNA from 1 species